AAAUUGAAGAGUUUGAUCAUGGCUCAGAUUGAACGCUGGCGGCAGGCCUAACACAUGCAAGUCGAACGGUAACAGGAAGCAGCUUGCUGCUUCGCUGACGAGUGGCGGACGGGUGAGUAAUGUCUGGGAAACUGCCUGAUGGAGGGGGAUAACUACUGGAAACGGUGGC
rnacentral:rRNA from 4 species